UGAGGAGGGAGGGGAGGCGCCAUGGCGGCUGCGAGCCCGCGCGUGGGGCUGGCUGGUCUGCGGGAGGAAGACGUUCCCCGCCCGCGCCCCGGCCGGUGAAAAGGGGCUGUGCCCGCUCCUCGCGGCUCCGCGCCUUCCUUUCCCGCCACCCCGCACGGUGUAUGCCCACCUUCUCAGUGGCCAAGAGAAAUGUUUCCGCCCCUUUGUCCUCAACCGUACGGAAUUAUCCACUUAUCCCUUUCUUCAAAGACCUUAACUAACAGACUAUACACGCAUGAUGCGCAGGAAUAAAAUUAUUUGGAGCGUAUUGUCAGCUAUGGAUCGGCACUUGCCAUCUACCUCGCCAAGGAUUAAAUCAGGUGCUGGUGCAGCUGCUGCAGACUCUGACCUGCAACAUCCCCCGAAAGGAGUUCAGGUUGGAGAGCAGAAAUGAGGCGCUCUGUGCUCGGGGGAAGCUGGCAGGACAGCUAUUCAGAGAGUUAGAUACUUGCAGGAGCUGAUUUUAUGAGUCCAGUUCUUGUAUCUCCUCGUGUCUAGAGAAACAAUGAAAUCCUUCAUGGUGACGUCUGCUCCUCGUGACUAGCUGUAGCCUGCAUGAAACGAGCACAAACCUUCUGCCAAAAAUAUAUGUGCUCGAUUGCGUGUACUCCCCGUUCACCAAAAGCACAUAUAUACUGACCUUCCCCCUGCCUCUUUGGAGCAGUUUCUUGGAGCUAUCUGAGAUUCUGUCUCCCAGGAUAUAGUCUUUAUUUUGCCCCCAAA